rnacentral:rRNA from 1 species
AGCAGCCGCGGUAAUUCCAGCUCCAAUAGCGUAUAUUAAAGUUGUUGCAGUUAAAAAGCUCGUAGUUGAAUUUUAGGCCUGGCCAGGCGGUCCGUCUUUGGCGAGUACUGUCUUGUUGUCGGGUCUUCCUUCUGGUGAACCAGUAUGUCCUUUAUUGGGUGUGUUGGGGAGCCAGGACCAUUACCUUGAAAAAAUUAGAGUGUUUAAAGCGGGCUAUUGCUUGAAUAGAUUAGCAUGGAAUAAUAGAAUAGGACGUUGUGGUUCUAUUUUGUUGGUUUCUAGGACCACCGUAAUGAUUAAUAGGGAUAGUUGGGGGCAUUAGUAUUCAAUUGUCAGAGGUGAAAUUCUUGGAUUUAUUGAAGACUAACUAUUGCGAAAGCAUUUGCCAAGGAUGUUUUCAUUAAUCAAGAACGAAAGUUAGGGGAUCGAAGACGAUCAGAUACCGUCGUAGUCUUAACCAUAAACUAUGCCGACUAGGAAUCGGGCGACGUUAUUUAAUGACUCGCUCGGCGCCUUAUGG